rnacentral:tmRNA from 1 species
GGGGGUGUAAUAGAUUCGACGGGUAUCUGUUGCUGCCUGGGAGCAAGUGCCGGUUGGCCAGGCCGGCUAAAAUAGGGCCACAAAAAUAACUAACAACAGCAAUGUUGCUUGGGCUAACGCUUAGUCCCACCGUGCUUUCGGUGCUUUUCACACGCUGAAAGGUCACGGUCAUUAUGUGAAAUGCCGCACGGGCGGCGCGUUUCGUCUUCCCGUGCGUAAGCCAAACGGAACAAACCGCGUUCUUGCCGCUCUGUGUUUAGGGCGCGGUUAACCAAACAGAGCUAAACUUGUAGCGCCUUGGCGGAAAGGAUGUUCGGACGGGGGUGCGAAUCCCCCCACCUCCACU